UUUACCCUGCCCUGUGCGUGAUUCGUAGCUGAAUCCUUGAACCGUAAUUAUACGAAUCCUGGUGUCUAUUCGUGAUGACAGCCGACAGGCCUUAAUUGGAAGUCAAAAGUUAUCCGGCGGGCGCCGCAUGUUGACUCAACAUGUUCAAAGGAGUAGCUACACACGGCAAUGGUGGGGUCACU
rnacentral:other from 1 species